rnacentral:misc_RNA from 1 species
CCGGAAGGUGCGGCUGGAUCACCUCCUUUCUAAGGAGCAGCUGGCGCGUCCUCCUUGUGAGGUCGCGUCCAGAGCCAUGUCUCGGGCGAAUGUCCCGAGAUGGCAGCUCGUUGUGGAGCACUGGUUAUUUGGUCAGAUCAUCGCUCAACCCAGUUAGUACGUCCUCAGGGACGGAAGGGUGGCGGCGGCGAGGGCCUGGUCUAGCACGCUGUUGGGUCCUGAGGGAACGGGCGUUUUGCCUUCUCUCUGGACCGGAUCGCCCCGCCGCGGAUGCGGCGGCGUGUGAGCCGGUACCGCCCGUAUCUUGAGAACUGCACAGUGGACGCGAGCAUCAAUUGUAGUCGCCAAGUUAAUAAGGGCACAC